ensembl:lncRNA
GUCUCUGGGGUUGCACAGAGUUGGACACGACUGAAGCGACUUAGCAGCAGUAGCAGCAGCAGCAAGUGAUUCCAUUGUGUAUCCAAGUUUGGAGAAGCACUGCAGUCUGGAAGAGAGAGAGACCGUACACCGCCUUCUUACCUUCCUUACUGUCCUGGUGAUCCCAUCAGAGGACAGUUUUCCAAAGUUCCUCUGCUUCACAGACCUUGGAAUUUCAUAUUGAGCUAAUUCAAGCGAGUUCUCCAAGAGGAAGUGCAGUUCCUUCCUGCGAAGAGCUCCGGGCUCCCCCCGGUGGCUAUUAUGGGUAUCGCUCCCCCAGGCCCUGCUUCAUUUAUCCCCGAGUUUUCCAAUUUCCCGCUUUCUCUCUUAGAACUCGGCCUUCCUCGAACUUAGCUUUCUCGGCUCUUGCUUCUCGGCUUUUUCUGACCGUUUAUUCAUUCGGAGUCUGCUUUCGGCAUGACGCCUACCAACGGCUCUGGCCCCCAGUACAGGCCACACAGAGCUGGUCAUUGUUGCCCCAGUUCUGGGACCACCCGGGUGGGAGAAGGGGCAGCGCGCCGCCGCGGAGGCCGGAUGACUGACAGCAGCCUCAGGUCAAGUGCCCCGCGGGCCACCCGGAAGGAGCGCGGGUGCCCCCUCCACGUCCCCCUUUGCCCCUUCCAGCGCGAAAUGAGCCCUUCCUUCAGACCCACACAAUUAACAGCAGUAAAAUCUUUAUUUUCAACACUCUGUAUAUGAA